rnacentral:rRNA from 1 species
AUGACCCACACUUUUCCAUUCAAAUUGAGCCACAUGAUAAGAGAUGUCCGUGAAAAACUUGAUGACAUAGCAUCCAACAGAUCAAAAUUUGGAUUAACAGGCCAUCUAAUUGAUAGCCAUGUAUCCAGGUGCAGUAACAGGGAAACACAUUCCUUUAUUAAUGAAAAAUAUAUUAUUGGAAGAGAUGACGCUAAAGACAAUAUUGUCAAAGUUAUAUUGACUGCUGCAAACUCAAAUUCUUUGUCUGUGCUUCCUAUAGUUGGUUUGGGAGGCAUAGGAAAAACUGCAUUGGCCAAGUUGGUAUACAAUGAUGCACGGACUAGCAAGAAGUUUGAAAGGAAGUUAUGGGCAUGUGUCUCUGAUGUAUUUGAUCUUCACAAGAUCUUAGAUGACAUAAUACAAUCUGGUAGCGGUGAAAGCAACAAAGAACUAAACCUGGAAAUGUUACAUCGCAAGUUGCGUGGGAUUUUACAGGAGAAGAGAUUUUUCCUUGUACUUGAUGACAUGUGGAAUGAUAAAGUUUCUGACUGGGAAGAGUUGAGAAGCCUGCUUUCCAGUGGUGGUAGUGGAAGUGUGAUUGUAGUCACUACGCGCAGUUCAAAUGUUGCAUCCCUGGUGAAGACCCUGGAACAAUAUGACGUUGCAAAAUUACCACAUGAUGAGUGUAUGGAAGUAUUUGUUCAGUGCGCAUUCAGAGAUGGCAGUGAAAAAGACCCCGAUUUGCUAAAACUGGGGAACUCCAUUGUUAAAAAAUGUUGUGGUGUUCCUUUGGCAGCAAAGACACUGGGUUCCCUGUUGUGUAAUAGUCGAAAUGUUGAAGAAUGGGGGCGCAUCAACGAAGACAAACUGUGGAACAUUGAGGGAAGCAUAAAUGGUAUUUUGACAGCAUUAAAAUUGAGUUAUGAUGCACUUCCACCUCAUCUGCGAGCGUCUUUCUCUUGCCUAUCAACUUUUCCGAAGGACUACCAUAUGUUUACAAAUCACCUUGUUAUGUUCUGGAUGGCAUUGGGGUUGUUGCACGGGGGCAGUGAAAGCCACGAGGCGUUAACUAAUGGAGCAAAAUACUUCCAUGAACUUCUUGACAGAUCCCUUUUACAAGACCAAUAUAUUCUUUACGAUGGCAGCAUUCAGAAAUGUAAGAUGCAUGAUCUCGUUCAUGAUCUAGCAAUAUCGGUGUCCAGAAAUGAGUGUGCUAUUGUUAGUUGUGAAAAGGUUGCAGUGCCUGAAACAGUUCGGCAUCUAGUGUGGGACCGCAAGGACUUUUCAGGCGGAUCUGAAAUUUCCUAA